ACAACGGCUCUUUUAAGAGCCACCCACUUCUCUCAACGGGAGAGCU
rfam:Sarcophilus harrisii ctg7180002490952, whole genome shotgun sequence.